rnacentral:rRNA from 1 species
UUUUUCGCAAUGGGGGAAACCCUGACGAAGCAACGCCGCGUGGAGGAUGAAGGCCUUCGGGUCGUAAACUCCUGUCGACCGGGAAGAAUGCACCUGACCUAAUACGUCAAAGUGUUGACUGUACCGGUGGAGGAAGCCACGGCUAACUCUGUGCCAGCAGCCGCGGUAAUACAGAGGUGGCAAGCGUUGUUCGGAAUUACUGGGCGUAAAGGGCGCGUAGGCGGCCCGUCAAGUCCCGUGUGAAAGCCCCCGGCUCAACCGGGGAACGGCGCGGGAAACUAGCAGGCUUGAGUUCGGGAGAGGGAAGCGGAAUUCCGGGUGUAGCGGUGAAAUGCGCAGAUAUCCGGAGGAACACCGGUGGCGAAGGCGGCUUCCUGGACCGACACUGACGCUGAGGCGCGAAAGCUAGGGGAGCAAACGGG